rnacentral:rRNA from 1 species
GGACUGCCGGUGACAAACCGGAGGAAGGUGGGGAUGACGUCAAGUCCUCAUGGCCCUUAUGGGUAGGGCUUCACACGUCAUACAAUGGUCGGUACAGAGGGUUGCCAAGCCGCGAGGUGGAGCCAAUCCCUUAAAGCCGAUCGUAGCCCGGAUCGUAGUCUGCAACUCGACUACGUGAAGUCGGAAUCGCUAGUAAUCGCAGAUCAGCAUGCUGCGGUGAAUACGUUCCCGGGUCUU